rnacentral:tRNA from 1 species
GCACCUGUAGCUCAGUUGGUAGAGCAUGGUGUUUGCAACGCCAGGGUUGUGGGUUCGAUUCCCACGGGGGGCC